rnacentral:lncRNA from 13 species
CAGGUCAUAUGCUCCUGCAGGACUUUAAUCUGCAUCACUAUUCUUGGGAUUGACAUUGAGGAUGAUGGCCAGCCACCAAGAUGGGUGUGUAGGUCAAAAACAGUCUAAUAUUGGCAGUUUCAUCUGGUCAACCUACUACACAAGCCUUUCCUGAAGCUCUUCCCUCAGUCUUGCCACUCUGAUUAUGCCGUUUCUCUCACCAUAUCCCUUUGACCAACUGACAAACUUCUACUCAUCUUCCCAGGUUUUGCUCAGGUAACAGCAACCUAAGGAAGACCCCUCUCACGCUGAUGCUGGGGCUUGGCCAUGUGACUUGCUUCUGCCAAUGGAGCUUUAGCAAACGUGAAACAGAGUUUUAAAAAGGACUGAUGCAUUGGGACUAUCCUGCUGCUGGGAGUUCUUCCCCCAUCAUGUGAACAAACCUGCCUGACAAAAGAUUGAUGGGAGAACAAACCUCAGAAUAAGAAGCUAUAUGAUGAGAAGCUUCAGCUAUCCCAGCCAUGCCAGUCAUGCCAACGGAGAGACCUCAGACAUAUCCUACCAGAUUCACUUCUUGGCCUUAUAGGAAGGAGCCAGAGUCCCAAAGAAGUCUGGGGAGAGCAGGAUGUGGCAGAGAACAGUGACCAGUGCCUUCGUGUGGAACUGGGAGCAUUGGUGAAAGACUGCAGGGUUUGGGGGAGGGAGAGACUGAGGGUUCUUGGCCUUCUGAGAUUCCCAGUCUGGAAGGCACACUCGCUCAGCCUGCAGCCUGGAGAGCAGAGGCUUGGGAAAUGCUGGAAAGGCCCUUUCUCCCCUUUCCCACUCACACCCUCCUUUCCUAUCUGCCCUGUCUGUGCUCUGCCGUCCUAUCCCACAGAGUUCUGUGGGAAAAAACACUACAUCAACAACAACAAGAUAAUAAAGGGCAUGUCAACGAGAGAGCAGGACAGGGGAGGGGGAAAGGGUGAUUUUGGCAGCAAUACCCCAUCAUCUAGUGCCUCUGCACUUCCCUCACCUCCCUCCUCCCUGAACCAGAUGGGACUGGAAGGCAGAGCUGAAGGAAACCAUAGAGAUUGCCCACCUAACCCCUUUCUCUUACAGAUGAGGAAACUAGGCCCCAAAGACAUUAGCUGA